rnacentral:lncRNA from 1 species
GUUUAAACGUCCUUAUAAGUAGGAAAUCUUAAAAGUUUUAACAUAAGGUUUUAAAGGAACAUUACAAAAAGGAAGAACCAUGAGGGGAUGUAUUUUACUUGCUGUUUAUGUGGUAUUGGCCGCUUUGAUUACAGUGGAAUCAGCUAAAUGCGGUUCAAGAGAUUACAACCCCAGAUUCUACACCUGUUGUAAAGGCAAACUAUCUUUCGGAAGCGGACAGUCCUGUUGUGGAACAAAAGCUUACGACUAUAAAUUCUACACAUGUUGUAGAGGCAAACUGAAUUUUGGAAGCGGACAGUCCUGUUGUGAUACAAAAGCUUACGAUUACAAAUUCUACACAUGUUGUAGAGGCAAACUGAAUUUUGGAAGCGGACAGUCCUGUUGUGGAACAAAAGCUUACGAUUACAAAUUUUAUUCUUGUUGUCGUGGAGUCGUUCGUUUUGGAAAAUGUUAAUGAUCUAUGUCUUUUUGUAGAUAUUCUACAUAUCAAAAUGCAAUGUUGACUUUAACUCAUCAUUUUAUUUUCGGUCCAAAAUUCUAUAAGUUUAAACCAUGCAUUCCAUGCUUAUCCAGCAUUGCAACCAUUAAACAAACUACCUUAACUGAUUCUGCAUCUUUUUGAUGAAUGUUCAUACAUAUUUCACGAUUGUUCAUUGAAAUAAACGGGUUAAAACAAU